rnacentral:rRNA from 1 species
UACGGGGGGAGCAAGCGUUGUUCGGAUUUACUGGGCGUAAAGGGCGCGUAGGCGGUCAGCACAAGUCAGUUGUGAAAUCUCCGGGCUUAACUCGGAAAGGUCAACUGAUACUGUGCGACUAGAGUGCAGAAGGGGCAACUGGAAUUCUCGGUGUAGCGGUGAAAUGCGUAGAUAUCUGGAGGAACACCGGUGGCGAAGGCGGCAUCCUGGACCGAUACUGACGCUGAGGAGCGAAAGCCAGGGGAGCAAACGGG